CCUACGGAUGGCAGCAGUGGGGAAUAUUGCACAAUGGGGGAAACCCUGAUGCAGCGACGCCGCGUGAGUGAAGAAGUAAUUCGUUAUGUAAAGCUCUAUCAGCAGGGAAGAAAAUGACGGUACCUGAGUAAGAAGCACCUGCUAAAUACGUGCCAGCAGCCGCGGGAAUACUUAGGGGGCGAGCGUUAUCCGGAGUUACUGGGUGUAAAGGGAACGUAGACGGCAGUGCAAGUCUGGAGUGAAAGGCGGGGGCUCAACCCCCGGACUGCUCUGGAAACUGUACGGCUGGAGUGCAGGAGAGGUAGGUAGAAUUCCGAGUGUAGCGGUGAAAUGCGUAGAGAUUAGGAGGAAUACCAGUGGCGAAGGCGGCUCACUGGACUGUAACUGACGUUGAGGCUCGAAAGCGUGGGGAGCAAACAGGAUUAGAUACCCCGGUAGUC
rnacentral:rRNA from 1 species